UUCUAUUUGAUAUCUUUUUGUAUGUGUUUUUUCGUAAAAAAAGAAGGGGCUUUUACAAUCGAAAAAUGAAAGGCUUUAUAGCCGAAUCAUCAAAAUAAAAUAAUAAACACAAUUUUCUUUUUCUUUUUUCAUAUUGGCUUGUUGCUGCUGUUGUUUGUCUAUUUCUUCGCAGGUACGGAGUGUGCGUGGUGCGAGUACGGGGGCUGUGCUGGUGUACAGAGGCGCGGGCGUGGCUGCUGAAGGGUACGAAGGUGGGGCUGCUGCGGCGCAAGCAGAGAUUGCUAGGGUUCUGCUUUGAUUUUUUUUGUUUUUGGGCUGUAGGGUAUUUGGGUCUAGGUUUGGGCUUGUAAUAAGUUUGGGCUAAGUUAGGGUAUUUGGGUCAUUGUAAUAACUUUGGGCCUUGGACUGUUUCUAUUUUUACUUGGGUUUUUUAUGUAUUUGUUUGUAACGGGCUGGGCAAAUUUGGCCCACUACAGUUGCCCCUCUUUGCUUAUUGUCGUGUAACGAGAAUAGAGCAAAGACUAUAAAUGGGCCAAUUUUGCCUGGACGUGCUGAGUUUCGACUUCUUUUGACGCUUCUUUUCUUCAUGUAGCUUCAAUAUGCUCCACGGCAACUUCAGGGAGACAUGGUUCGUGUGUUUUUAUCCUGCUUUACAGCAAUUUCAGAGAGAUAAGGAUUGUGACUUCGAUCAGCUCCACUGUAACUUCAGGAAGACAAGAUCUGCAAUUUUCAGCCUGUUACCCUACUACUUAGGGGGUUAAGGCUUGUUUUCUUCGAUCUACUCCGCCGGAGACAAGAUCUGCAAUCUUCAACCUACUCCACUACAACUUUAGGGAGAUAGGAUGGUGGCUUAAAUUUGCUUCACUACAACUUCAGGAAGACAAGAUUCGCCGUUUUCGAUCUGCUCCACUGCAACUUUAGGGAAACUGUAACAGCCCGUUUUUAGGGUUGAUCGGAACAGUGGUUUCGGGGCCACCAAAUCCGAACGAGUAGGUUGAUAAAUAUUAUAUUUAAUAUUUAUGAGUUAAUUGUGAUUUUAAAAAUGUUUUUGAUAUUGUGAUUUUUGUUUUAUAAGCGAUUUAUUAAGUUCAAGUGGUAUGACUCUAAGGUCAAGUGGGUUUAGAAAAUGAGGUAUCGGGACCUUGUUUCUAUAAACCGAGUCGUAAAUAUUUUUGUAAAUAUUUACGUAGUGGCAAUAAGAUGGUAUUAAAGUUUCGUUGAAAAAUUUUAUCGUUUCGAUAGUUAAUUUGCAAAAAGGACUAAAUUGUGUAAAGUGCAAAAGUUGUGUUCUAUAACCUAAAGGUAUUAAAUAGAUAUAGAACUUAAAAGUAGAAGUCUUUAUUUGGUAAUUAGCCCAUUAAAGAGAUAGUGGGAUAUGAUGGCUUGGCAUUUGGUGUAAUAAAUAAAGUGUAUAAAGGUUAAUAUUGUAAAUUGGUUAAUAAUAAUAAUAAAAUGAAUAUAAUAAAAGAAUCAAUGUGUCAUCUUUUUCAUUCUCUUUUACUAGCCGAAUAUGAAGGCUUGAGAAGCCAUGGAAGAAGCUUCCAACUUUCAGCUAAUGCAUGAUCAAGAUCGGGUGGAAAAUCGAGAAAAAUAAGAAAAUUACCAAAAUGCCCCUGAACUUUGGUAUCUCUACAAUUUAGCCAGGUAAGUUCGUAUGCAAUAAGCAUUGUUAAAUUUAUGUUUCUAAUGCUUUAAUAUCGUAUAAAUUGUAUAUACAUGAAUAUUUUAAUGUCUGACGACAUAUCGACAAAAUGUGGCACUUAGUGUGCGGGGCAAUCAAAUAUGGUACUCAGUGUACGAAAUAUUGAGAAUGGCACUUAGUGUGCGAGAUAUUGAGAAUGACACGUAGUGUGCAAAAUAUCGAAUGAUUCAAAGGGAAAUUAUAAAUUGUGAUUGAAUGAUUAAAUAGAGCAAAGUAAACAGGUAUACAUGCUAUAUUAUAUGAAUUGUUUAUGAAACCUUGUGUUAAAUCGGCAAUUGAAUUUGUUCAAUACAUUAAGUUGGCCAGGUAUGUGAUAUAUACUUAUGCAUGUUAGAUUGAUUGGAAUUGAAUCAUGAAUGUGAAAUGAGAAGCUUUGGUGAAAAUGCCUAUGUCAUAUAUGUGAGUAAGGGCAAAACCAUCGUAAAUUAUCGAUAAGGGUGGACUAUGUGCGGAAUCAUCUUAUAAUUGCUAAUUUGAACGGUUGUGUGCAAAUCAUUGAGCAUGAUGUAUUUUAUUGAGAUUAUGCUUAAGUGAAAUUAUAAAUAUGUGGUGAAAUUGAUUGGUGAUAUACAUGUUUAAAUAAUGUGAAUGCAAAGAAUGUGUGAAAGAGUAAAUUUGUAAUAAAUCUGCUUGGGACAGCAGCAGUAACGUGAUUUUGGAAAAUCACCAUAAAUUUUUGGAGUUGAGUUAAAAGCUUAAUAAAUUAUGUAAUUAAAUCUUAAUGAGUCUAGUUUCUUAUAAAAGAAACCGUGUAAGCAAAAGAAUUUCUGAUAAUGAGAUAUUUGAAGUGGCGUGGGAUAGAGUCAAAUGACUUCGGGGUCCCCUGUUCUGUUUUUAUAAAAUCAUUAUAAUUUUUACAAAAAUGGUUAUAAGAUAAAAUUUAUAUGCUUAGACUCCUUAAUGAGUCUAGUUUCAAAUGAAAUCAAAGAGAACAUAUUUUGAAUUCUUUACAAUGAGAAAUUUGAUUCGUAGUGAAGAGUGGUUAGAUUAGUCAAACAGUGAAACAGGGGAAACUUUAAGAAAAAUCUGGUAUCGAUUGGCCAAACCAAAAAUUCUGAAAAUUUUAUGGAUGGAAGAUAUAUGAGUAUAUUUUCAGAGAAAAUUAACAGCAAUUGAUUUGGAGUUUUGUAGCUCCAGUUAUAAAUAAUUUAGUGACUAUUGCUCAGGAAGACAACUUGUAGUGAAUUUGUGAUUAUGUUGUAAACAUUGAUAAAACUUGUUAAUGAGUUGCUUAUUGUUUUCUUAUGAACUUACUAAGCGUAAAGCUUACUCCCCUUUUCUUUCCCAUAUUCCCUAGGGUUGCCAGGUUAGCUCGGGUUGGAGGCCGUCAAAGAUAUUAUCAUAUUGUCAAGUCUACGCUAUCGGCGUAAGUAAAUCUUAGUGUUUCGAGUCUAUGGCAUAUAUAGGGUUGUAAAGUUGAGUAAGUAAAUGAUACAAGACUAAGAUAUUGGUAAAUAUUUAAUAAUGCCUCAUGAAUAUUUUGGGCCUUGUAAGCCCGAUUAAAGGAUAAUAUACGUGUGUAUGAAAAGUUUAAAAUUGAUCAAAAAAUUUUACGGUCUAUUUUUAUAUAAAUAGAUGAGUUUAAAUCUGGUAGCACCUCGAACCCUGUUCCGGCGAGGGAUACGGGCGAAUGGUGUUACAUUUUAUUGGUAUCAGAGCCAUGUUUUAGUCGGUUCUAGGACUACCAUGGCGUAUGUGAGUCUAGCUGUACAUGCCAUAUUUGACCUGCGAUAGUGUGAUAUCUCCUGACUCUGACGAAAAUUAUUUGAAUAGGACAGAUAAGUCUUUCAAUCAAGCUAAUUUUAAUAGUAUAAAAUAUGUACUCAGAUGUUUGAAUGAAAUUGUGUUCUAUACUGAUUUGAUUAAAUUAAAGUUGGCUCUGAAAUGUUUAAGUGUUCAUGAAUAUAUGAAUCCAAAGUUAAAUGAAAUGAUAUGUUCAAAGUGCACAUAUGUGAUGUUUUAUAGACUUGGUUACGUCACUUCAAUGUGCAACAACAAGUGAACAUAGGCACUGUGUGUGUGAGUUCCGUAACCGAGCACUGUGUGUGCGAGAUCCGUUGUUGAGGCACUAUGUGUACGAGUUCUGUAACCGAGCACUGUGUGUGCGAGAUCGGUUGUUGAGCCACUGUGUGUGCGAGUUCCGUAACCAAGCACUGUGUGUGCGAGAUCGGUUGUUGAGGCACUGUGUGUGCGAGUUCUGUAACCGAGCACUGUGUGUGCAAGAUCGGUUGUUGGGGCACUAAGUGUGUGAAAUGAGAUCAUGUAAGACCUCGUCCGAGAUGAAGGCAUUGAUUUGAAGUAGUGUAUAAGAACGUGUCUGGGACACUGGCAUCACUUAUGAUUCGUGUAAGACCCUGUCCGGGACAAUGGCAUCGAUAUUGAAUAAACUUGGUCAGAUGUAUGUAGUCCAUGUGAAAAUGAGACGUGAUAAAUAACAGAUAAAUAUAUGCUAUAUGUGCUUGACAUGUGACCUUGUGGUUCCAUGAAUCAAACAUGGAAAAAUAUGACAUGUUUUGGUUGGUAUGUAUUGGAUAUGUGCAAGUUUUGUUCAUACGAAUGAAUUGAAAGUUAUCACACGAAUUUAAAAUCAUAGUCGCAAGUUAUUUGUAAAUAUAAAUAAGUGAAGCUAUUUAAUAAGGUUAUAUGAACUUAAGAGUACUAUGAAUGUAUAUGCAAUUGAGAUUAUUUUUCAAUUCGAAUUAGUGAUAUGGAAUUUUCAUAAUCAUUGAAAUGAUUUAUUUGCUUAAGGCUUACUAAGCUUUCAAAGCUUAUUCUGUGUGUUUUUCACAAGACAGAUAUGCUUUCCACCCGAGCUAAUUCUGAUAGUACAGAAUGUUAUACUCAAACGUUUGAGUGAAAAUGUGUUGGUGAUGAGUUGAAACUCAUAAAAAGGUAUGAAUCAGAAUGCAUGAUAUUCUACUAUUGAUAAAUGUUAUAAUUAUAUGAGUAUAUGAGUUGUGAUGUUGGGUAUAUGAUUGUUGUCUGAAUAUUUUGAUUUGGAAUUUAUGAUUUGAUUUAGCGCAUGAGCUAUGUGUUAAGUACCAAGUGAUCAUAAGUAAAUGAUUGCUAGAUGUUUGAGAAUGCGAAAUUAGUAAUGAACUGUUCGUUCAUAAUAGUAUGUGUGAUGUGCAUACUUACGUAAGAGUUAAAAUUGUUGGCUUUACAACCCUCACCCCCUCAUUCGUAAAGCAUUAUAAUGAGAUCCGUACUAUAUGACUUAAAUAAGCUUACAAGUGCGGAAUGACAGAGUCUCGGGAUUGAAGGAUUAGUAUUGUGAUCAGAUAAGAGAAUGAGUCCGCAAGUGAAGACAGUAACAGAAAAGAUAUUGGAUCGUGUUGAAGGCCAUUUGUAAUAUGCAAAGUCACUGUUAAAAGAAAAGUUGAAUUAGAUGAAACCAAAUAUUCAGGUAUGAUAUCUAAAGAACAUAUUAACUGGAAGUUCUUCUGAAUUGGCCUCCGUUAGUGUUGGGAUAAUGAGAAAUUAGUGAUGUCAGAGAUAGAUAGUAGAAUCAUAUUUGAAUUAUAAAGAUAUUUGAGCACAUCGAUUAUAGUCGAAUGGUUUACGAGAACUCUUCUAGGUACUCUAUGUGUUCAAUUAUCCUCAGAGGUAUGUGAAGCUGUAUAUUUUCAGAUGAAAUUCUUAACAUAUGAGAACGUUAUCUAUAUAUAUUGAUAUAUGAAAGCAUUGUUGGGCUGUUCGGGUUACAAUCAGCAUUAUUAUAUCUUUCUCUGGUAUUCUAUUUCAUUUUAUUGAAAGAAAAGAUCGACGAUUAAAUCUGUGUGAUGUUGGUAUUCUGCUCCUACUGGUUGUUGAUCUGCUUAGUAUACAUGAAGAUUAUAUUGUUUCUGUUACUGUUGAUUCCGAUGCAUAUGAGUGAUGCUUUACUUCUGGAUUUCCACUGAGACAUCAUUGAGAUAUCUGUCAUCUGAUAUGGGUGCUUUCUUUAAAAAAAGAUUAGUAUAGUGAUAUAUUUGAGAAUUACAGUAUCUCUGCUUUCUUAUGAUUCUAUAUGGUUAUCUGUGAAAAAUAUCUAUUGAAUGAUUGUAACUAUAUUUCAAUUUCUCUUAUGUUCAAAAUGCAUUAUUGAUAAUUGGGACAUUAUAUAUCUAUACGGUUGAGAUGUCAGCCUUAUUAUGGCACUAUGAUUUUAAAUUAUCUGAUGGUUGUGGCUUCAGUAUGGUUCAAAGCUUCGUUGAUUAAUAAUUGAAAAGUUAUUACUUGACAGUCGAGAUCGAUUCAGUUGUCUAGUUUGAUUAGAUUAAUUGCUUGAAGGAUUAAUCGAGUUACUUGUAUCUGAAUCUAUCCUCAGGGUGGAAAUAAAGUUUGAAUGGUCACGGAUAAAUAGAUGAAUAUUCUGAAUGCAGGAUUCAUAUUCUAGAAGAUAUGAUACAGAAUUAUAUCCAUCAGAACGAUUUUAUUGAGAAAUGUUCUUAUAGAUCGCGAUUGGGAAGUCUGAAUGAUGUGAUAAUUAUCAAUAAAGUGGUAAACAGUUGAAGAAAUUGUUAAUUGAAGUGUCAGUUCUCAGGUAAAGAGUUAUUCGACACAAGAAUUAAAGAUGGUUUGAACUGUUGAAAGAUUAUGAGUCAGCGAUUGAUUAUCAAUCUAGGCAAAUGAUUAUAGUCUUUGGGGUUCUGAACGAGAAUCUUUAUGUGUUUUACGGCCGAUAAUCAUGUGAUUAAUCUUAUCAAAUGAUGAGUAGUUAUUAGCUGAGCUAGAAACUAAAUUGAUGUUUAAUUAGCAAAUUUGUGAGGUUAAGAGGUGUGUCAGUGAAUUACAAGUUAAAAAGGGUACAACGUAAAUUGAUUUCUAAUUUAAAAUUUCAGAUUGGAAUCGAAAAUUGUUCGUUAUGUCGAGAUAGAGUUCGUGUAUUGAGAAAUCCAGAGAUUUUACAACAAUUGUGACAUCUAGCACAGUGGUAAUUAUCUAUCCGUACGGGGAGUACUAAAAGAGUGCUAGUUUUCAUUGUUCAAAUGGAGACACGAGGAUUAUAUAGUGUUACUAAAAUAAACUACUAUGAGCUUUGGGUAUGGAAUUACUUUGUAACACUGUGUUCUAGAACUUGAAAGCAACCGAGAAAGACAUUUAUUGUUUGUUAAGUUUGCAUAUAAUAAUAAUAGUUAUGAGAUGAAUGUUAAGAUAGCAUUGUAUGGGUGUGGUAUGGUUGCAAUUACUGAACUUCGUUGUAUUGAAUUGAAUUUUUAUAAAAAGAAUUUCGGGGUCGAUGUGAUUGGAAAGACUGAGGGGAAAUGAAAGUAAUUCAUGACUGUCUAAAAACAGUUUCAGAUUUGCAGAAAAUAUAUGUGGGCUUGAUGCGUAAAAGAAUUGAAUUUUCAAUUAGAAAAUUAAGUAUUUGUAAAGGUAUUAUAGUGGGAAUAGAAUUUCUAGAUUUAGCUAUAAAGAGAAGUUGAGUUCGCUGUUCAUCGGAUUGAAUGAUAUUAUAAUCAAAACUUGAGAAGACCCGUAAUGUGCUUUUUAUAUAUAUGAUGUGAUGAUACAAAUAAGAUCCUUUAUCUAUAGUAUCUCUUACAAAAGUAGAAACUCAGCUUGUUAUGAUGUAUAGUAAAGAGCAGAUCAUAAUCUUAGCUCAUGAGAUUGAAAAGUUGAGAAAUCUGAGGCUAGGUGAGAAAUUGUUGAGGUUGGUGAAAGAAAAUCAGUAAUUUAUUCUCUGGCAAGAUUUUCGGGGACGAAAAUCCUUAAGGGGGGAGAGUUGUAACAGCCCGUUUUUAGGGUUGAUCGGAACAGUGGUUUCGGGGCCACCAAAUCUGAACGAGUAGGUUGGUAAAUAUUAUAUUUAAUAUUUACGAGUUAAUUGUGAUUUUAAAAAUAUUUUUGAUAUUGUGAUUUUUGUUUUAUAAGCGAUUUAUUAAGUUCAAGUGGUAUGACUCUAAGGUCAAGUGGGUUUAGAAAAUGAGGUAUCGGGACCUUGUUUCUAUAAACUGAGUCGUAAAUAUUUUUAUAAAUAUUUACGUAGUGGUAAUAAGAUGGUAUUAAAGUUUCGUUGAAAAAUUUUAUCGUUUCGAUAGUUAAUUAUGCAAAAAGGACUAAAUUGUGUAAAGUGCAAAAGUUGUGUUCUAUAACCUAAAGGUAUUAAAUAGAUAUAGAACUUAAAAGUAGAAGUCUUUAUUUGGUAAUUAGCCCAUUAAAGAGAUAGUGGGAUAUGAUGGCUUGGCAUUUGGUGUAAUAAAUAAAGUGUAUAAAGGUUAAUAUUGUAAAUUGGUUAAAAAUAAUAAUAACAUAAAUAUAAUAAAAGAAUCAAGGAGUCAUCUUUUUCAUUCUCUUUUACUAGCCGAAUAUGAAGGCUUGAGAAGCCAUAGAAGAAGCUUCCAACUUUCAGCUAAUGCAUGAUCAAGAUCGGGUGGAAAAUCGAGAAAAAUAAGAAAAUUACCAAAAUGCCCCUAAACUUUGGUAUCUCUACAAUUUAGCCAGGUAAGUUCAUAUGCAAUAAGCAUUGUUAAAUUUAUGUUUCUAAUGCUUUAAUAUCGUAUAAAUUGUAUAUACAUGAAUAUUUUAAUGUCUGACGACAUAUCGACAAAAUGUGGCACUUAGUGUGCGGGGCAAUCAAAUAUGGUACUCAGUGUACGAAAUAUUGAGAAUGGCACUUAGUGUGCGAGAUAUUGAGAAUGACACUUAGUGUGCAAAAUAUCGAAUGAUUCAAAGGGAAAUUAUAAAUUGUGAUUGAAUGAUUAAAUAGAGCAAAGUAAACAGGUAUACAUGCUAUAUUAUAUGAAUUGUUUAUGAAACCUUGUGUUAAAUCGGCAAUUGAAUUUGUUCAAUACAUUAAGUUGGCCAGGUAUGUGAUAUAUACUUAUGCAUGUUAGAUUGAUUGGAAUUGAAUCAUGAAUGUGAAAUGAGAAGCAUAGGUGAAAAUGCCUAUGUCAUAUAUGUGAGUAAGGGCAAAACAAUCGUAAAUUAUCGAUAAGGGUGGACUAUGUGCGGAAUCAUCUUAUAAUUGCUAAUUUGAACGGUUGUGUGCAAAUCAUUGAGCAUGAUGUAUUGUAUUGAGAUUAUGCUUAAGUGAAAUUAUAGAUAUGUGAUGAAAUUGAUUGGUGAUAUACAUGUUUAAAUAAUGUGAAUGCAAAGAAUGUGUGAAAGAGUAAAUUUGUAAUAAAUCUGCUUGGGACAGCAGCAGUAAUGUGAUUUUUGAAAAUCACCAUAAAAUUUUGGAGUUGAGUUAGAAGCUUAAUAAAUUAUGUAAUUAAAGCUUAAUGAGUCUAGUUUCUUCUAAAAGAAACCGUGUAAGCAAAAGAAUUUCUGAUAAUGAGAUAUUUGAAGUUGCGUGGGAUAGAGUCAAAUGACUUCGGGGUCCCCUGUUCUGUUUUUAGAAAAUCAUUAUAAUUUUAACAAAAAUGAUUAUAAGAUAAAAUUUAUAUGCUUAGAGUCCUUAAUGAGUCUAGUUUCAAAUUAAAUCAAAGAAAACAUAUUUUUAAUUUUGUACAAUGAGAAAUUUGAUUCGUAGUGAAGAGUGGUCAGAUUAGUCAAACAGUGGAAUAGGGGAAACUUUAAGAAAAAUAUGGUAUCGAUUGGCCAAACCAAAAAUUCUGAAAAUUUUAUGGAUGGAAGAUAUAUGAGUCUAUUUUUAGGGAAAAUUAACAGAAAUUGAUUUGGAGUUUUGUAGCUCCAGUUAUAAAUAAUUUAGUGACUAUUGCCCAGGAAGACAACUUGUAGUGAAUUUGUGAUUAUGUUGUAAACAUUGAUAAAACUUGUUAAUGAGUUGCUUAUUGUUUUCUUAUGAACUUACUAAGCGUAAAGCUUACUCCCCUUUUCUUUCCCAUAUUCCCUAGGGUUGCCAGGUUAGCUCGGGUUGGAGGCUGUCAAAGAUAUUAUCACAUUGUCAAGUCUACGCUAUCGGCGUAAGUAAUCUUAGUGUUUCGAGUCUAUGGCAUGUAUAGGGUUGUAAAGUUGAGUAAGUAAAUGAUACAAGACUAAGAUAUUGGUAAAUAUUUAAUAAUGCCUCAUGAAUAUUUUGGGCCUUGUAAGCCAGAUUAAAGGAUAAUAUACGUGUGUAUGAAAAUUUUAAAAUUGAUCAAAAAUUUUUACGGUCUAUUUUUAUAUAAAUGGAUGAGUUUAAAUCUGGUAGCACCUCGAACCCUGUUCCGGCGAGGGAUACGGGUGAAGGGUGUUACAGAAACGAGAUCUACAAUCUUCAACCUACUCCACUACAGCUUUAGGGAGCUAGGAUGAUGGUUUAAAUCUGCUUUACUGCAACUUCAGAAAGACCAGAUUCGCCGUCUUCGAUCUGCUCCACUACAACUUCAGGGAAACAAGAUCAACAAUCUUCAGCCUACUCCACUACAACUUUAGGAAGCUAGGAUGGUGGCUUAAAUCUGCUUCACUGCAACUUCAGAAAGGCUAGAUUCGCCGUCUUUGAUCUACUCCGCUGUAACUUUAGGGAGACAGGAUCUGUAGAAUCGGUUUCAUAGGCCUAUGCGUAUGUCAAAUAAUUAGGAUGCUAUGAUCGAAAUGAAUCAAGUGUUCCUAACUAGAUGUGGUGUUUAUGUCAAAUAAUUAGAAUGCUAUGAUCGAAAUGAAUCAAGUGCUUCUAACUAAAUGAAUGAUUAUGAAUGUAGAAAUGUUAUGAGAGUAAUUCCUUUUUAAACGCUUAAGGUAUCAUUACUCAUAGUUCAUCAGGGUUCUAUCAUUGAUGCGCUAUUGCGUCUUCUUGCUUAGCCGUUAUCUUUGACAGAAAAUUUGAAGAAAUAGUCACAAUUUGGACUAUUAUUUUUCCAAUAUUUCCUACUUUUGAGUCUGGUUAGUUCUGACUAGUGGCCCUGUUUUAGGUCCUUGUACUAUUUAGAAACCUUCCAGAGUAAUAUGCAUAACUCCUUUUGUGUGAGUGUUAUAAGUCCAAAAAUCGUGAUUUCAACAAAAAUGCUCGAAAGAGAUUAUCAUAAUAGACAAGAUGGAAUUUUAUUGAGUGAAACUCGAAGUGAAUACAUUAAACAGGAUAGCAAAUCUGUUAAGGCACAAACAUGAAAAAAGGUGCCCCAGAUAUCGCAGCACGAGCUUCACUAUUCCAAUUUCUCAAAGGCUCAUUCGAACUAAAUGUGUGUUCGGGAGAUCCUGUGUAUUUUGUUGAUGCUCCAAGAUGUACUGCUUUUCCCUCUUAUUAAUUUUGGGAGGACAAGACUACCAUAUGCCCCAUAUUCAAAAUUUGAGCUGCCUGUUUUCGGGUUUUUAACUCAAAAUCCCUUUUGGUUUCAAAAUGCCCUUUGCGGGUUUUCACAUUGGCCUCUCUAUUUUUUUUAGGUCUUAAAGCGCCCUUUGCGGGUUUUCACCUUGGCCUUUCCCUUUUUUAGGUAAAAUACUUUUUGACGAAAUCUAAAUUUAUAGGAUUGGGCAAGUUUUUACCAUCCAUCUCGGCUAGAAUUAAUACUCCUUCGGAUAAAGCUUUCUUCACCAUGUAAGGCCUCUCCCAAUUAGGCAUCCAUUUUCCUCUAAAUUCCUUCUGUAUGGGAAGGAUCUUUUUCAAGACCAGAUCCCCCUCAUGAAACUCUCUUGGGCAGACCUUCUUGUCAUAAGCCCGCAUCAUUCAUUUUUGGUACAUCUGACUAUGACGGAUAGCUUUUAUUCUCUUUUUCUUAAUCAAGUUCAAUUGAUCGUAUCGAGAAUGGAUCUAUUCUGCUUCAUCUAACUUUAACUCCGACAAUACUCGAAGGGAUGGGAUCUCCACUUCGAUUGGCAAAACCGCUUCCAUUCCGUAGACCAAAAAGAAAGGCGUUGCCUCAGUUGAGGUUCUGACUAAUGUUCGAUAAGCAAAGAGGGCAAAUGGUAACUUCUCAUGCCAAUCUUUGUAGGUCUCAGUCAUCUUCUCCACGAUCUUCUUGAUGUUUUUAUUGGCCGCUUCCACUGCCCCAUUCAUUUUCGGGCGAUAUGGUGACGAGUUGUGGUGUCUGAUCUUGAAUUGACUGUAGACUUCCGCUAUCGUACUAUUGUUCAAGUUCAAUGCAUUGUCAGAUAUGAUCCUCUCCGGCAUUCCAUAUCGACAUAUGAUCUCCUUUUUCAGAAAUUUGCUCACUGCCGACUUUGUAACAUUGGCAUAUAAAGCGGCUUCUACCCAUUUGGUGAAGUAGUCGAUAACCACAAAGAUGAACCGAUGCCUAUUGGAAGUUUUCAGUGAUAUUGGUCCAAUCACAUCCAUGCCCCACAUAGAGAAAGGCCAUGGGGAAGCCAUGACAUGGAGCGGCGAAGGGGGUACGUGAAUUUUGUCUCCAUAGAUUUGGCAUUUAUGACAUCUCUUGGCGUAAUUGACACAAUCUCCUUAUAUAGUGGACCAAUAAUACCCGAAUCUCAUAAUUUGUCUGGCCAUUGUAAAGUCAUUAGCGUGUGUCCCACAGACGCCCUCAUGGACUUCUUCCAAGAUUUUCUUAGCCUCUACAGUGUCUACGCAUUUUAAUAGCACUUGAUCUUUUCUUCUUUUGCAUAAGAUCUCCCUAUCUAAGACAUAGUCAAUGGCCAAUCUUCUCAGUGUCCUUUUGUCAUUCUCGCUUGUCUAGUCCGGGUACUCACGAUUCUUCACAUAUUGCAAUAUAUCGUGAUACCAAGGGUGGUCGUCAUUUUCUUCAUCUUCUUCGAUAUUAUAACAGUGGGCCGGAGUUUCAUAAAUGCUCAUCCGGAUGGGUUUGACAUCUUCCUGUUUGUUCACCUUGAUCAUGGAAGAUAAGGUAGCUAAACCAUCGGCCUUUUCAUCCCGUGGAAGGUAGCGGAAGGUAAUGUCAUCGAACUCUUUAACCAAUUCAAGGACCAGUUUCCGGUAAUCGAUCAACUUGGGAUCUCUGGUCUCUCAUUCUCCUUUGAGUUGAUAAAUUACUGACGUAGAAUCUCCAUACACCUUUAGCACUUUAAUCUUGCAUUUUAUGGCUGCACGGAUACCUAUGAUGCACGUUUCGUAUUCUGCCAUGUUAUUCGUGCAAUCAAAAUCCAAUUUACUAGUGAAUGGAUAAUGAUUUCCGUUUGGGGAUACCAAGAUUGCCCCGAUUCCAUUACCAACGGCAUUUGAUGCCCCAUCGAGUUUAGUUUUCAAAGAAAUUCUUCCGGAGCACCUUCUUCAAUGGUCGCAACACACAUCAGGUCUUCAUUUGGGAAAUCGAAGUUCAAAGGCUCGUAAUGUUCCAAAGCUCUACUGGCCAGAAAAUCUGCUAUUGCACUCCCUUUCACUGCUUUCUGGUUCACAUAAAUUAUGUCGAAUUCAGAGAGCAGAAUCUGCUAUCGGGCAAUCUUUCCAUUCAAAGCUGUCGACUCCAUCAUGUACUUCAAAGGGUUCAGUUUUGAGAUGAGCCAAGUAGUGUGAUACAAGAUAUACUGUCUUAACCUCCAGGUUGUCCAAACCAGGGCACAACAUAACUUUUCUAUCGGUGGAUAUCUUGUCUCACAUUUAAUGAAUUUUUUACUAAGGUAGUAAAUGGAUUUUUCUUUCCUUCCUGAUUCAUCAUGCUGACCCAAUACGCAUCCCAUGGAAUUCUCAAAUACUGCCAAAUACAAUAUCAACGGCCUAUCGGGGUUAGGUGGCAUCAGCACCGGAGCGUUGGAUAAGUACUGUUUGACCUUGUCGAAAGCCCUUUGGCAUUCUUUAUCCCAUUCACCUGGGUUGUGUUUCUUGAGGAGGCGAAAAAUGGGGUCACAUUUCUCGGUUAGUUGUGAAAUAAACCGAGCGAUGUAAUUUAAUCUUCCUAGAAAGCCUCGAACCUCUUUCUAGGUACGCGGCGAAGAUAGCUCUUGUAUGGCUUUGACUUUGUCUGGAUCGAUCUCAAUCCCUUUUUCACUAACCACGAAUCCGAGAAGCUUUCCAGACUUGGCUCCGAAGGUACAUUUGGCUGGAUUGAGUUUUAGCUGGAACUUCCUCAACCUUAAGAAUAACUUCCUCAGGACUUGUACGUGCUCUUUCUCAGUUCGGGACAUUGCGAUCACAUCAUCGACAUAAACUUCAAUUUCUUUGUGCAUCAUGUCGUGAAACAGGGUUACCAUGGCCCUUUGAUAUGUUGCCCCCGUAUUCUUUAGUCUAAAUGGCAUUACCUUGUAGCAGAAUGUCCCCCACAUGGUUACAAAUGUGGUCUUCUCCAUGUCUUGAGGAUGCAUCUUGAUCUGGUUAUACCCAGAGAAACUGUCCAUGAAUGAAAACAGUGAAUGGCCUGCCGUGUUGUCCACUAGGGUGUCAAUAUGAGGCAGUGGGAAAUUAUCUUUCGGACUGGCUUUGUUCAAAUCUCUAUAGUCUACACACAUUUGUACUUUUCCAUCCUUCUUCGGGACGGGACGAUGUUGGCUACCCAUUCGGAGUACUUUAUCACCUUUAAAAAUCCAGCGUCAAACUGCUUUCUAACCUCUUCUUUUAUUUUUAGCAAGACGUCGGACCUCAUACUUCAGGGUUUUUGCUGAACUGGUUUACACUCUUCCUUUAUAGGGAGUCAGUGCACCACAAUAUCAGUGUUCAACCCGAGCAUAUCUUGGUAUGACCAUGCAAAAACAUCUUUGAAUUCUCGAAGUAAUUCGAUAAGAUCUCGCUUCAUCUCCAUGGUGAUACAAGUUCCGAUCUUCACCUCUUGCCCCUCUCCUAAGCUCAUAAUUUCUACUGUUUCUUUGUGAGGUAGGAUUUGUUUCUCGUCUUGUUCUACCAUCCUCAACAAAUCAGGAGAUAGGUUACAGCCUUAGUCAUCUUCGAAAUCCUGAGAAUCCUCCAUACACAUAUCUCGCUCAAAAGGAGACUCUGAGCCACUAGCAGUGUCACUGAUAUCAUUGAUAUCUGGGGACCUGUUAUGAGGAUGAAGGAAGAUACUUAUUUGUAUGGUAUGAUUAUUUGUAUGGUAUCAUUCAUAAUCUACUUUCAUUCUUCAUUAAUAUCAUUCAUAAUCUACUUUCAUUCUUCAUUGAUAUCAUUCAUAAUCAUUGAGCCACUAGCAGUGUCACUCAUAUCAUUGAACACUUAUUUGUAUUGUAUGAUUAUGAAUGAAGAAUGAAAGAAUAUUUAGAAGAGUGUUCGAAGAACAAAAGAAUCCAAAAGUAAUAUAAUUAUGAAUGAAAUUGAAAGAAUGAGAGAAUAUCUACCCAAAAUGGUAAUAACUGUACAUUUCAUUGAAAUAACGUUUUUAAACAUAAGCCUAUUUCACAAAAGAUUCUUAUUACUCCUAGGCCUAGAGCAAUAAGUGUGUUUUGGAUAUUACUCUGAGUCAGUUCUAAAAACUACAGGAAUCUCUUCCGCAGUCUAGUUAUCCAAAACACUUCCAGGUAUGUAGGGGCAAAUGCCCGAAAAAUUUUCCUCUCCAGUCUCUUCUUCGUAUGUGGCGUUGAUGUUCAAGCUUUCCAACCUUUCUUCUAUGGCUUCUUUUCUUGGCGUGCUUCUUUCGGGAUGAACGAUUCCUCUGGACACAAAAUUUUUCGAUAUGUGGGGAAAUAUCAUUGGCUCCCAUUUGAUUUCCUCCCCCUUCAACCUUACUCUCCUUCUUUCUUGCUUCUUUUUCAGCUCUUUUCUCCUUUGUCUUGCAUCUGGCUUAAAUUCUAAGCCGAAACGAUCUCUCUUGUCCUUCAAUACCGGCGUUUCAAUCCUUCCUUGGAGAUGUCUCUCGAGCUCUCUUCCGGGUAGGGCCCCUUUUCCAACCAUCAACUAUAGACUCAUCCUUGUAGUUUUGGACAAUUUUGGCAUCAAAAUCUUUCUUCCAUUGGCGAUGAAUGUCACGUUAACAAAUUCCAAAGACCGAAAUGAGCAUUCGAUUGCUUUGUCAUCUGUCUCCAAAUAGGGCGCAUUACUGCUUACAGUUGCACUGAUGUCCUCUUCAGCAUUGAUCGUUAUCAACCGCCCCUCUGAUACCAGCUUCAAAUUUUGAUGCAAUGAUGAAGGCACUGCCCCAGCUGAAUGUAUCCAAGGCCUCCCCAAUAAGAAAUUGUAUGAGGGCUUGAUAUCCAUCACUAGGAAAUCCACCUCAUAUGUGUUUGGCCCGAUCUGAAGAGGUACCUCGAUUCUGCCGAUCACCCUUCUCUCCGUACCAUCGAAUGCUUUCACUAUGUUCUGGCACUCCUUCAUGUGAGAGCUGUUUAUAGGUAAUUUGUUUAGCGUAGUUAAUGGCAGGACGUUCAAGGCCGACCCAUUGUCAAUCAGUACGCCUGGCAGCGUAUACCCCUUACAGCGCGUGGUAAUGUACAAAGCUUUAGUCGACCCCAUGCCACUGGGUGGUAUCUCGUUGUCAUUGAAGAAGAUAUAGCUUUCGGCACUUAUGUUGCUAACCAAACGGUCCAGCUUGUUGACAGAGAUAUCAUUGGCAACAUAUGUUUCAUUCAGGACCUUCAUCAGCACGCUGCGGUGGACUUCUGAACUCAGGAGUAAGGCCAGCACCGAGAUAAGAGCUGGUUAUUUACGUAGCUAUUCCACCACGCUGUACUCGCUGUGUUUUAGGAAUUUCAAAAACUCCUUAGCCUCCUCCUCGUUAACUGGCUCAUUAAUAGGAAGUUCAUAUAUGGUCGCUUUUUCUUUCAUCUCUUCGACCACUAGGGCUUUUCCUUUUACAGGUUGUGCCUUUUCACUUGAUGUAUCGUAGCGUCUCCCGCUACGUGUAUAGGAGCCCCUAUCUUGUUCCUCUUUUGAAGUAUCAGCCAAGCUUUGCUUUCCCAGAAUCGUUAUGUUACAAUCAUAAUUCCAUGGGACCCUUUUGCUGUCUUUAUAGGGGAAGACUGUAGGUCUUUGGAGUAUGACCCUCGGUGGCAUUUGCACUCUAGCUUCAUUAUUUUUAGGUCGCGAUAUGAUGACCACAGGGUAGUUAACUGUUCGGAUUCUCCCUCCGAUGCACAUAUAUCUCCCUCUCCGGGGUUUUUUGCUUCUUCAUAAAACUCCAUUUCUUUGUUGUUCAUCAUGCUCUGUACUAGGGCCUUGAACUCCACACACUCUUGGAUUUUAUGUCCCACCUCGUUUUGAAACUCAUAGUAGUUCCUCCCUUCUUCAUACUUUUCUCUCGAAUCCAACGCGAUCAAUCCUCUCUUGACCAUCUCCUUCCACACCCAUCUCAAUGGGGUCCUGACUUUUGCAACCUCACUUUUGAUCCUCUUGUUCUUGCCUUCACUUAUCUCGUUCACUCCUUGGUCGGCAUGAUUGGGGAGCAUAUUUCCUGCUACAUUGGGUACAGCUGGGUCGUCAAACCUCACGAUCCCCAUUUUAAUGAGUCUCUCGACUACUUUCUUGAACGCGGUGUAGUUUUCGAUUGAGUGCCCGGUAAUUCCCACGUGGUAUUCACAUUGGGCGUUUGUGUCAUACCAUUUGGGAUACGGGGGCUGUAGUGACUUCAGGUAAAAAGGCGACACUACAUGAGCGUUGAACAGAUUCUGGUACGGCUCCCUAUACGUCAUGGGUAUAGGGGAGAACUAUGGCCUCUCUGUGUUCUCCCUCGCGUUGGAUUCUUGUCUCACAGUGCUAUGUUGAUUGGUGGCUACCGUCUUUGGUUGAUUUACGGUGAGUGACUUGGACUAACCUUUACCGAAUGUGCUCGUGUUAUUCAUUUCAUUAUCUCUUUUCCUUAGGGCUGACUUUUUGUUACUUUCUCUUGCUUCUAUCUUAUCGCUCCUCACAGCAUUUUCAAUCAUUUCACCGGUCAUUACUAUGUCUGAGACGCUUUUGGUGGCGUUUCCCAACAUAUGGGUGAUAAAAGGGGCCUUCAAGGUGUUGAUAAAGAGCAUCGUGGUUUCUUUUUCUAGAAGCAGCGGAUGAACUUGUAUGGCCACUUCUCUCCAUCUUUGUGCGUACUGUCUGAAACUUUCAUUCGAUUUCUUCUCCAUAUUCUGGAGAGUGAUCCUGUCGGGGGUCAUGUCCGUCAUAUGAUUAUAUUGUUUCAUAAAGGCCUAAGCCAGGUAUUUCCAUGAAUUAAUUUUAGCUCGGCUCAAUUGGUUAUACCACUUAGAUGCCGCCCCAACCAGACUGUCCUGAAAACAGUGAAUUAAUAGUUGGUCAUUGUUGACAUAUCCCGUCAUUCGCCUGCAAAAUAUCGUGAUGUGAGCUUCAGGGCAGCUCGUUCCAUUGUAUUUCUCAAAUUCAGUCAUUUUGAAUUUGGGGGGAGGGGAAGGACCAAGUCUGGGACCAAACUCAGGUCCUUAGCAUCAAUCCCUUGAUGAUUAUCUGCGUAUUCCAUAGCUCUGAAUUUCUCCUCCAGCCAUUUACAACGUUUUUCUAAUUGUUUUUGCGAUUCUACCCUUGCCUUUUCUUCUUCUGCAACUUCGUCCAAAUCGGGAAUAGGCGGAUAACUCGAGUUAUUAACAAGGUUAGAGCCUGAACCGGCUUGGAAAUUCAUUGGUAUCGAAGCUCCAGCCUGAAUCUACUGAGGCAUGAUCGUAACAGAUGGUUUUUGUAGAUUAAUCUUGGGCUUCAUCGGUACAUGUGUCAGUGUGAAGCCAGGGGAUUGAGGAUCUUCAUUAGUUUCCUCAACAUUGUCCAUGGGGCCCUUUCCCUUAUCCGUUCUUCCCAUCAGCAAUUGGGAUAACUGACUCAUCAUUUCUCUUUGGGAUUCCAUCAUUUGCUCCUUCAUCUCUCGCUGAAUUUUGGUUAGCUGCUCUUGCAUCUGAGACUGCAUUUGUUCCUGCAUGUCCUUUUGCAUUUGCUCCAAUUUCUCAAGUCUUUUAUCCAUUGACUUUUUCCUUGUACCGUAGGGGUGCAUAGUUGGUUGGUUUUCGUUGGUUUCCAGGUUACUGUAAUGAUUUUUAAUUAAUUAGAAACCUUUUAUGACCUUUAAUGCAUAAUGAUGUGAUGUAAUGCAAAUGCAUGAAUGCAAAUGAGGCAUCAAUUUUAAUUCAAUUCCCUUUAGAAAACUUCACUAGAAAAUAAAAUUCUUUUACAUAAAGUUGAGUUACAAAUAAAAUUUUGCUCUAAUGCUUAAAGUCUUAAUUUUCCUAAGCAACGAAACCAGCUCUUUUCCGUGAUCUGACCCCAACCCGUACUUCAUGCUCAGUGUGUCCGCCUGUACCGCUAAAGCUUGCAAGUAGUCAGCUACCUCCCGGAUCUGGGUUAUAGCUUCCCCCAUAAGGUAAUCCCUGUUUCUGACUUGGUCUUGCGCAUGGUGAAGCUGCUCUUUCUAACGGUCCUCAUUUGUCUCGAAAAACUGAAUCCGCAUCUUAUAAUUUUGCAGUGACGCCUCUAAUUCUUCUAUAUUUCCUUUCAUUUCUUCUAUCUUGCUCAAGCUUGCUCUCAAUUCCAUUGCGAUGUUGCGGUUUCGGUACUGAUGAAGAGACUUCUUGAGUUCUGCCACUCUAGCCUUUAAUUCACCUCGCUCAUUUCUGUUUUCUGAUAGACUCUUCUCUAAAUCUUCAUUUCGUGCCUGAGCUUUUUAGAAAUUCCUUUCCCAUCGGUCUGCUUUGGUUUUUUCUUCUCGAAUUUCAUGGCGCCAUUUUUCGGAAGUUUUACCUAACCUCGCAGUCCUCAUAGACAGGCGUAGCUUCUUAUAAUCAGUCUUCAAGCUGUCUAGAUCUUCUUCGGCCUUAGUUUUCCUUUUUCUCCACUUCUCAGCCUCUGACCUCUGUACAUCAGUGACUAAUCUCAAGUGCAUCUUCUCUUCCUCCAAUUGUUCGAUCUUUUUCCCAAGCUCUAAACUCUUCUUCUCGAAAUCUUACUUUAUAAUUUCCAACUCUAACGGGGCAACUUGUAAUUGUUCCACCUUAGGUCAAGUAUUUUCCAAGCUUGGCCUAGGAACAUUAUCAUUAACCCUCUUCUUGAACCAUCCAUCAUACUCGGGUGUCACCAUGAAAUCGACAGCCAACCUCUUUAUCCAACGAGUUUGCUUCCAAGCAUCCGAUAGCUCCCAAACUUUCUUCUUAUAGUGAGCACCUUUAAAGAAGAAUUCACACUGAGCAAGUUCGUAGGUCGUGGGUACAAACUACCUCGAUUUAUAUUGCCUUAACGCAAGUAAUGGAGUAUACCCAGUAGCUCCCCAAAUUCCUAACAACGGUACCCAAUCAAAGUCCCCACAUCAAUACAUGUUCUCAUCAGGAACCAUCCAAUAAGCUCUCCAUUCUAUAUCCCCCUCAUUGAGGUUUUGGAUGAUUUCCAUCCACUUCUCCUCUAGGAUAUCCUCUCUCCUUUGUAUGGCCGCCUCCUCUUUUAACGGGGAAUAACCUUCGGAAAAGACCUGAUAAGAAACCUUGUCUACCUUCCAAGAGUGCCCAUGAAACUACACCAUCAACAGUUGUGCACAUCCAAUAAACCGCCCCUCAGCUGUCUUCCGACACGUGCUCAAGGACCUAAACGUCUCAGCCAAUAUUGCCGGUACAGGUGUGAUUCCCUUCUCAAGGCGAUCGAAUAAGUUAAUGACUGCCUCGUCCACGUGCCUCAAAUCCUUAGGAAAAAUUACAAAUCCGUAGAUGCUUAAGGUGAAUAUAUCGACCCUCUUUCUUUCAUCUAGAUGCGUCAAAAUCAAAUCUUACAAAUUCUCCCAAGGGAUACAUUUACUAUCUCCUUUUUGUUGAAUCCGAGCAGUGACCCAAGUCUCGCUCAUUUCUGAAAUGUUCAUCAGUUUUUUCACGAAAGUCUGACCAUUAAAAACCCUGGCAUAAGUCUUUCUAACUUGAAUUUUCGGACAGCUGAGCAAGGUAGUGUAUUCCUCCAUGGUAGGUACUAAAUCCACUUCUCCAAAAGUGAAACACUUGUAAGCAGAACUCCAAAACUGAACCAUAACUCGGAAUAGAUGCUUAUCCACUCUAAUGUCUAGCAAGUAGGAUAUAUCACCAUAGCUUUGAUAAAACAACUGUUUGGUCGCUUCAUCCCAAUGAGCCCAUAUAUCUCUCAACUCUUGCAACUCAUUCUGUGCUACAUUAACGCGAGUGAAUUCUUGCAAUUCUGAUAUAUACCCUUCUACCAAGCUAUCCUCUUUCUCCGAUUGUAACUUCUCUAACCAUGUGCGGACGACGACAUUAUCCUCGACUUUACUAAGAAAUUCAUUCUCCAUGUCAAACUUUCUAACUUAGUAAUUGAAUACGAAUCAACACCUCAUUUAGUAUGCAAUGUCAUGCAAAACACAAUCAAAACAAAACACAGGUUAGUAUCAAAUAAUAGUGAUGAAAUGCAAGCACAUAAAUGAUAAUUACAACAUGUAUACGGGUAAAUACUAAGGCUUGAUGCGGCUCUACCCAAGGAUAGCUCUUAAGGUUCACUAUAUGUGGUUCGGUUCUAGAGAUAAGGUACCCGAACUAGCAGAGUCCUUAAUCUUCACCCAUUAUAGGCUCAUAUAGAUCGAGUUCGGUUUAGGGGGAUACAUUUCCCUAUGACCAUGUGGAGAUGAAAAUCUCACGAAAUCAUAGGUACGGAUGUACCCCGGAAGCAAUCCACUAGCCCAUGCGGAGGUGAAAACCUCACGAAAGCAUAGUCUCUUACUCCCACUUAGAAGGUGUGACCACAGCGGUCAUGCAAUGAAAAUGCAAUAUUAUACUACAAGACCCGAAUCAUGGCAAUCAUACAAACAAAUGCAAUUAUGAUUUUCAAAACAAAUUUUCAAUAUUUCGACAAAAGGACAACAAAUAAUCGAUUUCAUGGCUAGACUCUUUUAUCAAAUCCCUAGCGGAGUCGCCAAGCUGCCGAAAUCAUUUUUUUAAAAAUAAUGUUAAAUUUAAUGAAAAAAACGAGAAUCGACUUUUUGAAAAACGAAAAUGGAGUCGCCACUGAUCUUUUUGUUUUGGUGUGAUCGGAUCACCUAAGAAUUUGGUUAUUUUAAUAAAACAUUUUUGGUUUACUAAAACAACGAUUUUGGUCUACGAACUUUUAAGAAAACGGGUUCGGGAGUCGGUUAUGCAUGAGGAAGGAUUAGCACCCUCACUACGCCCAAAAUUGGUACCAAAUCGAUUAAAUAUUGUCCUUAUGUCUAAGAUUUAAAAAUGUUUUUGAAAUGGGAUUCCCUUUUGAUAACGUUUGAAUAACCUGGGUUGGUCAUCAAAAUUCUCUUGCUUAAAAGGAAUACAGCACCACAUCCAGCACGAUACGACAUGAUCCUUUAUGCCCUCGAAAACAUGAUAAAUUUUGACUUCCAAAAAUUUAUACGUUGAAAACCGCAAAAGGAUGCCCAAUUAUUUAGUCCAACGAGAAAAUCGAAACCCAGCAUAGUAGGGCACGACUCCUCGAAUUUCUAGAUAUCAGACAUUGCCUUAUUUUAGAAUUUAGAGAGUAUGAGUGAAAUUCUAAAGGAAUCUUCGAUCAUUUUGGACAAACGAGAAAUUGCAACCCAGCACGAUAGGGCACGAUUCCGUGAAUUGCCAAAUAUCGAACAUCGCCUUCGUUUAAAGAAUUUUUAAAAGACAUGAGUGAAAUUCUAAAGGGACCUUCGAUUAUUUUGAACAAACGAGAAAUUGCAACCUAACACGAUAGGGCACGAUCUCGCGAAUUGCCAAAUAUCGAACAUCGCAUUUGCUUAAAGAAUUUUUAAAUGAAUAAUUAUAAAACUAGCUUAAAACGCAAUAAUUCGACUUGAAAUAAAACGGAAUUAAUUUUAAAGAUUUGGACCUUAUAAAACCAAAUUUCGUAAACCAAGUGGAAAACCAUGAUAUGGGAUAAUACACACAUACGAUACAAUGCCAAUUAACAAACUAAUAAUCAAGCAAGGCUAAUCUAAGACGAAUGUAAUCGAACUUCUAAACAUGGAUGGAGCAAUUGAUAUAACAAUAAAAUGAAUAAAUAAUAUACAACGAUAAUAUACAUAGAAUAAUAAAAAGCUAUCAAUGCAAGAUGUAUAGAACAAAGUAACAAUUUGAAGUUAAUGUGAUAUAAGACAUUUCUUAAAACAAUGACGAAUAAAUGAACACAUAAUAUAUAAUGUUGACAAAUUUGCAUAAAAACUAAGGAUAUAUAAUUUUUGAAAUAGAUAUCAUAGAAUAAAAGUUUGAAUCAAAUUGCAUGAAAAAUAUUCUAAACACAAAUUCAUUUAAAAGUUGACAAAGUACAUGAUAAUUUGAAUAAUAUAUAUAAUACGAAAGAAAAAUAAAGGUACAUAACAAUACAUAAUACACAAAAUAGAUUUAUAAAACAUAUGUACAUGUAAAUUUAUUGUAAAAGAUCAUGAGAUUAAUAAUAAUAUAUAUAAAAAUUUUAAGUCAGUGUAGAAAUUAUAUACAUACCCUUAUAUCAAAAACAUUUAAAUAAGAGGCUAUAAAAAACACAAAAGUAAUAUAAUAUAAAGAAACAUUCAAAAAUAAUAAUUUUAUAAUUUCAAAGAUGAAGUUUUUAAAAUAGUUUCAUAUAUACAUAAAGAAAAUACUUGAUAAAUCAUAAAGCAAAAAGUGUUUUAAAUAAAAAAUCUAUUAAAGUAAUAAGUGUAUUAAUAUGUAUACAUAUAAAUUUAAAAGCAAGUACAUGUAAAAUAACAUAGAAAUGAUAACCUGUAUAGGACUAAAUUAAUUUUAUUAUAAAUUACACAAUAGAUUAAAUACGGAUAGAUUAAAUAUAUAAAGAAAAAAUAUAUGUAUAAAAUACACGAGUUUAAUAACGUAUAGAUUAAAUACGGAUAUCCAUAAAUGUAUAUACAUAUAUGAUAAUAGCUUAAAAAAUAUAUAUUAUGUAGGAUUAUAUAAUAAAAUACAAGAAUAAAUUUAAAAGAAAUCAUGUGCGUAAAAUGAUAUAAGGUUAAUAAUAUAUAUAUAAAAUAAAAUUAACUUUAAUACAAAGUAUAUGUAUAUAUAUAUUAAUAUUUAAACAAGAGGUUAUAUAAGAGUAUUAAAAUAGCUUAAUGCAAAAAGAAUUUUAAAAUGAUAAUUUUAUUAAGCAAAAUAAAGUUGUGCACAUACAAAUAUAUAUAUAGCAAUAAAUAAUAUUGUACAGAAUAUUAAAAUGAAUCAACACAUGUUCAAACAUUAAACAUAUUGUAAAAUAAUAGGCUAUACUAAUAGGAGAUUAAAUUAAAAUUUAAUUAAAAUAAGAGGGGUAAUUUGAAAAUAAAGCAGUAACAAUAAAAGGACACGCGCAAAUGUGUAGGGACUCAAACUGGAAAUAAUCCAGCCCUCAAAACGCAGUGAUCAGCUGCGGAUCCAUUUGCAAAAGAGUGUGAAUUACAGGGAUAAUUUAAAAAAAAACAAAAGAAGCACAGAUAUGAGCUGAUUUGAACACGGCGCGAAAAGGGAGGGACUCAUAUAUCAAAUAACCCAUCUGAAGCACAAAGGCGCGGGUUCGGGUCCUGGAACGGGUCGACGCGCGGAUCCCUUUCCCCCCAGAACGGUGCCGUUUCGUUAUAUGCUUAAAAAUUGAAGAAAAUGAAUGGCCUUUUGCCAUUUUUUGAGCCAUAAACCAAAGACCCAAGCAUUAGGGUUACAGCACAGCAGAUUUUAAUGCUUUCCCAUCCCCUUUCCAUUCGGCCGAAUUAGGAGACCUUUAGACUGCCGUUUGGCCUCUAUGUCUAGCCGACGGUCAUCACUUGAAGGCCCAAUCUAGCUCCGUCCAACCGUGGAUCCAAGGUUUUUGCUCCAAAGCUUCAAAGUCCUCGCCUAAACUUCGAUUACAACGAAGUAGCUAGGAUUCGAAGGAGCCAAAUAUGAAGGUAAAUCUCUUUUCCUUACUCUUUUUCUUUUUAAAAACGAAUAUCAAUCAUGAAGAAAAGCAAAAAGAAAAAUGAAUGAGAUGCUAGAUUUAAAACAAUCACCUUUUCAAUUCGUGAUUUCUACUUUGUUCUAUUUGAUAUCUUUUUGUAUGUGUUUUUUCGUAAAAAAAGAAGGGGCUUUUACAAUCGAAAAAUGAAAGGCUUUAUAGCCGAAUCAUCAAAAUAAAAUAAUAAACACAAUUUUCUUUUUCUUUUUUCGUAUUGGCUUGUUGCUGCUGUUGUUUGUCUGUUUCUUCGUAGGUACGGAGUGUGCCUGGCGCGAGUACGAGGGCUGGGCUGGCGUACGGAGGCGCGGGUGUGGCUGCUAGAGGGUACGGAGGCUGGGGCUGCUGCGGCUCAAGCAGAGACUACUAGGGUUCUGCCUUGAUUUUUUUGUUUUUGGGCUGUAGGAUAUUUGGGUCUAGGUUUGGGCUUGUAAUAAGUUUGGGCUAUGUUAAGGUAUUUGGGUCAUUGUAAUAACUUUGGGCCUUGGACUGUUUCUAUUUUUGUUUGGGUUUUAUAUUUAUUUGUUUGUAACGGGCUGGGCAAAUUUGGCCCACUACAGAAAUGAUAUGUUCUUCAUAUUUUAAUAAAAAUUAAUUAAAUGUAUUUAU
rnacentral:lncRNA from 1 species